rnacentral:rRNA from 1 species
UGGGGAAUCUUGCGCAAUGGGCGAAAGCCUGACGCAGCAACGCCGCGUGCGGGAUGAAGGCCCUCGGGUUGUAAACCGCUUUCAGUGGGGACGAACCAAGACGGUACCCACAGAAGAAGCCCCGGCCAACUACGUGCCAGCAGCCGCGGUAACACGUAGGGGGCAAGCGUUGUCCGGAUUUAUUGGGCGUAAAGAGCUCGUAGGUGGUUCAGUAAGUCGGGUGUGAAACCUCCAGGCUCAACCUGGAGACGCCACCCGAUACUGCUGUGACUAGAGUCCAGUAGGGGAGCAUGGAAUUCCUGGUGUAGCGGUGAAAUGCGCAGAUAUCAGGAGGAACACCAGUGGCGAAGGCGGUGCUCUGGGCUGGAACUGACACUGAGGAGCGAAAGCGUGGGGAGCGAACAGG